rnacentral:sRNA from 1 species
GAAGUUGAUUCCUUGUCGUCCUGGGCAAUAGAAUGUAUGAUCUCGAUAGAUAUUACGAGAGUUGCUCAUUUGCUUCCGACUGUGCCGAUCUUAUAUCUCUUUUUGAAAGACCUUAGAAGUGGCCAAAUUUUUUAGCUGAGAUGGCGACAUUUGGUUCCCUUCUUUGUUUUUUUUCUUUCUUUUAGUAUUACUUUUCUUUCCAGCCGUUUUAAUGUGCGGACCGAUAGUCUUGCAAAAAAGGCACAAGCUCAUAAUAGUCUUUUUUCAUGUAAGCACGUCGGUUCCUAAAUGGUUCUCUUUAGAAGAGAGUUUCUUUCCGAUUACUUAAUAGAAAUGGAGUUCGACGAAAAAAAAAGAUUAUAUAUAACGUAGGAUUCUAUCACUUUGAAAUCCAAGUUUCUACGAUAUAGAAACUCAAUGAAAUCCACUUUAGAUUAUAUAUAUAUAUAUA